GUUUUUGAUUAUCAUUCAGUUGAUUUACCUUUAGUAUCAAACAAAUUAGAUUAUUGUGUAAAACAAAGUUCCUAACUAAACCAUAAACAUGCAACCAAUCUCAGUAUCAAUCCUCUUCUCUCUCUUCAUCGCUUCAUCAGUAGUUUGCAAUGAACAAUCACCCGAAUUUAAUUUGCAAAGCAAUGUCCAUGGUCGUCACUUCUUGAACCCAUUCAAACUCGCUUCCAAUGUUGUCUCAUCAGUCGCUUCUAAUGCUGGUAAAGCUAUUGGUGGAGUUGCUAAUCAAGCUGCUGAUGCCGAAACCAAGUUAGGUAAUGCUGUCAGUUCUGGUAUCAAUGGAGUUGGUAAAUUGGCUAGUGCUGGUUCUAAUGUGGCUGCAGGUGCCGUUGAAUCUUUCGCUAACAUGAAAGGUGAUGCAGUUCGUGCUAUUGG
rnacentral:lncRNA from 1 species